ensembl:lncRNA
CGGAGUUAAACUGUGGCAGGUAAGCAUGUGGAGGAGGAGCAACAACAUGACGCUGGAACAUCAUCAUUGCAUUAUACAGUUUCCUCUCUCUGGAUGCUGCUGUGAACAAGAACAGCUGUGGAACCAGGGUCCUGAGUGUCAUCUAUGGAUGAAUGCAGAAAAUCUUAUGUGCUGCGUUCACUGACUCCAUCCUCUCUGACUGUUACUGACGCAGUUUACUGCUGAGGAAAAGCGGAGGGGACGUAACAAAAGCAGAGUGAAACGGAGCGCUGUGAUUGGUCAGAAUGUUUGUGGCUGUGGGAUUGUGGACCCUCUGUCCCACAAGCCCCUCCCUGGUUUUUCCUUCCCGAAGUUUUUCUCUCCUGAACUUUGACGCUGAUCGUCUCCGUGUGAAGCUCCGUGUUAAGGUAGAAAGUGUGUGUGAGCUGAAUUGAGCAGCAUGGAUCAGUGUGAGGACAGAGAGGAGGGAGUCCCUCCCUCUAAAACCACUCUGUGUGGGGAACAUGAGAGCCAGACCAAAGCUCAGAGGAACCAGCCUGGACCUCCACCCAGCUCUGUGUCCUUAAGGAGUGACCGGUCUAAUGAUCGCUGGAUUAAUUUUAAAGUCCAGCCUGUGUCUGCUGCAGAGAGGGCUGUUUGAUGACGAUUUGGACUCCUCUGGGAGAUGAGGACACACCCACAUCUGUUCCAUACUGCAGCCAUGGAUGGUGUUACAGCUCUGAGUCAGCUUUGGGCCAUCAGAUGCACACACUGGAAAACCAGCGCCUGUACUUCAUGCAGGAGAGAUGACCUCAGUGAUGAUGGACUCUGCAUCCUCUACUUUACCUCCUAAUCUCUUUCUCUUUAACACACAAUUAAAAUCACUCCAAAAGAGUGUAAACUUACUGAGGAAGUCUCUAACUUGUACACAUUUGUACUUUUACUUGUUUUAUGAGUUAUUUUUAAGAAGAGUAAAGUUAUUCACAUAAAGUUUUUAUUCUUCUGUAUUUAUUCUUUUGUAUCAUGUACCACAGUCAUACUGAACUUUACAGACCUGGUGAAUUGGGG